AAAUUUGUUUUUAAAAUGAAAAAAAAUAAUUGAAUUGUGAAAAUUUUAACAAAUUUGAUAAAAUUUGAAUAAAUUUAGUGGUUUUUUUUAAUUGACAAUUUAAUUAAAAAAUGGUGUUAAACCAUACAUAGUAAAAGAUAUAUUGUAACUGAAAACAUCACACCUAAACCCUAAUAUGGAAAUCCUAAACCUAAGUCGUAAACCUACAAACCUUAAUAUCAAAACUAUGAACAGUAAACCUACAUCCUAAAACUUGUAAAACAUAAAGCAUAAACUCUAAUACCCUAAUGUAACCCUAAAUGACAUGUAAAUGUAAAUCAUAACUCAUAAAGCAUAAAUAGUAAAAGCUGUAAAUCUAAAAAUCUUAAAUUUAAAAUCAUAAACCUCAAAUCAUUAACCCUAAAACCCUAAUAUGUAAACCUAAAGCGUAAAAUCAUUUUACAACUGAAUGAUACUCCAUAAUUUGACAAUAUGUAAUAAAAAUUACAAAAAUUCUAUAUUAUUUUUAUUACACAUUUAAAAGGUUAAAAGAACUUAUUUUAUUAUGUCUUAAAUAAUUUUAUGGUUGGAAUUUACAAUUACGGUUCAAGGUGUUAUGUUAGGAUUAUGGGUUAGGAUUUAGCUAUACAUUUUAUAGUUUAUGUUUUAUGGUUCGGUUUUAAUUUUUACUUUUGAGUUUAAGAUUUUUGAAUUAGAAUUUAGUUGUGACGUUUUCAGUUACGAGAUUUAUAUUUUAUGGUGGACAGUUUAGGAUUUUAUCACUAUCUUUUAAUUAAAUUUUCAAAUAAGAAAAUCAAUAAAUUUUUCAAAUUUUGUAAAUCAAAUUGUCAGAUUUAUUAAAUUUUCACAAUUCAAUUAAUUAUUCAAUUUUAAAACAAUAAAAACAAAUAAAAAUUAAAACAAAUACAGCAAAACAAAGCUAAAAUUGUGCAUGUUGAGCAUGAUUUGACUUCUACUAAAUUUUCAAGCACUAAAUCUUCAAGCAAUUCGUCUUUUUAAUAUAUAAAUUUAAUGUGUAAUCAAAAUAAUUAAAAUAAGUUUAGGAUGGACAAUUUCUUUACAAAACACAUUAUAGGAAAAUUAUAGAAAAGUUAUUUUCAUGACACAACUUCUUCCUUAAAUUUU
rnacentral:lncRNA from 1 species